rnacentral:rRNA from 1 species
AGUGAACGCUGGCGGUAGGCCUAACACAUGCAAGUCGAACGGCAGCACAGGAUAGCUUGCUCUCUGGGUGGCGAGUGGCGGACGGGUGAGGCAUACAUCGGAAUCUGCCCAGUCGUGGGGGAUAACGUAGGGAAACUUACGCUAAUACCGCAUACGACCUUCGGGUGAAAGAGGGGGAUCGCAAGACCUCUCUCGAUUGGAUGAGCCGAUGUCGGAUUCGCUAGUUGGCGGGGUAAUGGCCUACCAAGGCGACAAUCCGUAACUGGUCUGAGAGGAUGAUCCGCCACACUGGAACUGAGGAACGGUCCACACUCCGAGAGGAGGCCACAGUGGGGAAUAUUAGACAAUGGGGGCAAGCCGGAUACUGGCAAACCGCGUGGGUGAAGAAGGCCCUCGGGUUGUAAAGCCCUGUUGUUGGGAAAGAAAUAAAUCAGGUUAACACCCUGGGAGGAUGACAGUACCCGAAGAAUAAGCACCGGCUAACUUCGUG